rnacentral:rRNA from 1 species
AUGGCGUCGGAGAUGAGCAAGGACUUGAAUUUCUCCGAGGAAGAAGUCACCUCGCACCCACGCAUUCUUGAAGGUGAGGAGCAGACGGUUGCACCGGCACGGCAGUCUUCCAUCUUCGCGCCAACGUUGGACGAACCGCAAUACUCUAUGUGCGAGGCAGGGCGCAACUUUGGGUCCAUGAACAUGGACGAGUUCAUGAGCAACACAUGGAAUGCCAAGGAGUUCCAAGCAGCGACCGGUGGUGUCUUGGUGGGCAUGGAGGUGGCUCCGGUGGUGGGUGCUGAUGGAGGCCGAGGUGGCGAAGAUGCAGGAGAAAGCAACCUAGCCCGGCAGGAGUCGUUCUCCUUGCCUCCCCCGCUAUGCUGGAAGAUGGUGGAGGAGGUGUGGGCUGAGAUCAACAGGGAGACCCGCCCGGUGCAUUCCCAGCCUCAAUCCGCGCGGCCCUCGCCAUUGAUUCCCGUCAAACCACCAACGAGGAAUGGUGGUGGGGUUGCAGCGAACGAACAGCAGGGGACGCUUGGAGAGAUGACGCUGGAACAGUUUCUUGUCAAGGUUGGUGUUGUCCGGGGAUCUGGCACCGACGGCCAGGCGUCUGUGCCGGUCGGCAUGGUCCAUGGACAGAUGAACCCUGCACCGGCCAACGGCAUGUUCCAGGUGAUGGGCGAUGGCAUGGUGUUCAUCCCCAAUGGGUACGCAGGGAUGGUCGUGGUGCCGCCACCACCACCUCCUCAAGGUGGGGUGGGUAUCGUGAGCCCAGGGUCAUCGGACGGGAGGAGCACCAUGACGGAGGUUGACAUGAUGAACUGUAUGGGCGACAGAGCGAUGAUGGAGAACGGCGGCGCGCGGAAGCGCGGCGUUUCGGAGGAUCAGUCCUAUGAGAGGAGCAUCGAGUGCCGCCACCACCGCAUGAUCAAGAACCAUGAAUCAGCCGCACAAUCGCGUGGCAGGAAGCAGGCUUAUACCAAGGAGCUUGAAGCCGAACUAAACCACCUCAAGGAGGAGAACGCUCGUCUGAAAGCUGAGGAGAAGACGAUUUUGCUGACCAAGAAACAAAUGCUAGUGGAGAAGAUGAUGGAGCAGUCCAUGGAAAAUUUGAACACCAAGAAGGGUGGCGCCCUAUCGCGGCGCUGCGAUAGCUGCAUCUGGUGA